rnacentral:rRNA from 1 species
UACGUAGGGUGCAAGCGUUGUCCGGAAUUAUUGGGCGUAAAGAGCUCGUAGGCGGUUUGUCGCGUCUGCUGUGAAAACGCGAGGCUCAACCUCGCGCCUGCAGUGGGUACGGGCAGACUAGAGUGCGGUAGGGGAGAUUGGAAUUCCUGGUGUAGCGGUGGAAUGCGCAGAUAUCAGGAGGAACACCGAUGGCGAAGGCAGAUCUCUGGGCCGUAACUGACGCUGAGGAGCGAAAGCGUGGGGAGCGA